rnacentral:rRNA from 1 species
AUACGUAGGUGGCAAGCGUUGUCCGGAAUUAUUGGGCGUAAAGCGCGCGCAGGUGGUUCCUUAAGUCUGAUGUGAAAGCCCCCGGCUCAACCGGGGAGGGUCAUUGGAAACUGGGGAACUUGAGUGCAGAAGAGAAUAGUGGAAUUCCAAGUGUAGCGGUGAAAUGCGUAGAGAUUUGGGGGAACACCAGUGGCGAAGGCGACGGUCUGGGCUGUAACGGACACUGAGGCGCGAAAGCGUGGGGAGCAAACAGGAUUAGAGGCCCUGGUAGUCCACGCCGUAAACGAUGAGUGCUAAGUGUUGGGGGGUUUCCGCCCCUCAGUGCUGCAGCUAACGCAUUAAGCACUCCGCCUGGGGAGUACGGUCGCAAGACUGAAACUCAAAGGAAUUGACGGGG